GACGAACCGUACGAACGUUAUUCGGAAUUACUGGGCUUAAAGGGUGCGUAGGCGGCGCAGUAAGUUGGGUGUGAAAUCCCUCGGCUUAACCGAGGAAUUGCGCCCAAAACUACUGUGCUCGAGGGAGAUAGAGGUGAGCGGAACUUAGGGUGGAGCGGUGAAAUGCGUUGAUAUCAUCAGGAACACCGGAGGCGAAAGCGGCCCACUGGGUCUUUUCUGACGCUGAGGCACGAAAGCUAGGGUAGCGAACGGG
rnacentral:rRNA from 1 species